CUUGUAUAUGUAAGACACGUUAAAGUCUAUAGAAGCUCUUAUCACACAUUUUUUAAUGCGUGAAAAAGUUUUCAAUUGGAGAACAGGUGCCUAUUUUGAGUUGCGUCAUUUAUAGUCAUUAAAUAGUAUCAAGAUCUACGGACAGUUGUGACAUAGCGGACUUAGGGCCAACUACGCGCCGUGUAAUGAAGUGCCACUUAGGUCACACGUAUCGUAAUGUACCAAUACGAUACUCGUAACCUAAGUAACACUUCUGAGUUCUGCUCGGCGUAAUUAGAAAAAGUGCUACUUUGGUCACAUGCAACGUAAUGUACUAACGUAACACUGACCUAUUCGAGCAACGUACAUAUAUAUUCAAAACUUUUUUGAAAAAUAAAAACAGAAGGAUUUCAUUCUGCAUGAACGAACAAGAAGUUGCCAAAAAUUGCAUGCAAAGUCCUUGAAAUUGAAGUCAUAGCACAAGUUAAAUUGAAUGGGAAAAUUAUUCAGACUCGUGUGACAAAGUAGCGCCGUGAAUCACUUCAAACGUUAUCGCGUGCAGCCAGAGGAAUGAAGGACUAAAAAUAGCAACAAUCACCACUGAAAUAAACCAGGUGUGCGACACGUGUUGUGCGAAGUGCAGGAAUUGUUCUAUUAUAUCGAUGAAUGCUGAGGAAGAGGGAGUGAUAAAAAAAAGAUUUAAAAGUUAAUAUGCAGAAAUUUGUCGAUCUUUCCAGGGAACGAUUCAAAAGAUUCUUGCAAAGAUUUCUGCGAUGAGUGCGCCUAUUGUAAUGUCUUCUAUAAAUGAGGUGCAUUGUUCAUUGUUUCAUGGAAGAUCUGUUAAAAACGUAAUCGCAAAGGUUUUCGAAGAUGGAAAAUUUUCAAAUUUUGAUUUAUAAUACGAGUAUAGCUAUAGCAUUUCUUCGUGAAUUCAUUGACGCAAAAAUAGAAGUUUUAGUAAAGUUGGCUAUACGAGCUAUUACGAAGCUGACGAUUCCGCGUGUUUAUGAGAGCGAUUAUUACCUUAACAGCCAAAAGUCGAAGCUUAGCCAACAAAAUAGCUUUAUUAAGGAUUAGAUUAUCAAAGUAUCCAACGCUUGCAAGUCAUAAAAUGUAACGAGAAGCAUUAUUUAAAAUAAGAAGCUUCUGAAGAAAACUAACAGAGCAUUUAGACGAUAGCAUUGUUUCCUCAACAUUGAGAAUCUGUAAAAAACGGCUUGUAUGUUUCAAAUCUUUGAAGAAAAUAAUUUGUUUGUUUAAAUAAAGAAAUUAAAAGUUC